UCCUUCACUUCUCUUCUCCAGCUCUCUCCGGCUAACCUUCAUCAUCUCCAACAUGGUGUUCAGCUGCCACAAGCCAACUUGUUUCAGCCCAUCUGGACCUAUUUUCCCAGUCGGGGGUAGCUCAUCUUGCUGUGUCCCAGUCUGCCACCCCAGCUGUGGCAUCCCUUGUGGACCCCCCACUGUGUGUGUGCAACCUCAGCAGCCUUCCUGCAUCCCGGUUUGCGGAUCUCCUUGUGGGCCACCCACAGUUUGUGUCCAACCCCUGCAGCCUUCCUGCAUCCCGGUUUGCGGAUCUCCUUGUGGGCCACCCACAGUUUGUGUCCAACCCCUGCAGUCUUCCUGCAUCCCGGUUUGUGGUCUCCUUGUGGGCCACCGAACAGUUUGUGUCCAACCCCUGCAGUCUUCCUGCAUCCCGGUUUGUGGAUCUCCUUGUGGGCCACCCACAGUUUGUGUCCAACCCCUGCAGUCUUCCUGCGUCCCAGUCUGUGCGUCUCCUUGUAGCAUCUCUUGUGGGCCACAUGGAGUGUGUAUUCAACCAAAGAGCAGCUUGCCAUCUUGUUACUCCCCAUCUGGCCCUAUCUUUCCCGUUAGCUCAUCCAGUAGUAUCCCCAUUGCUCCCUUAUGUGUCCCGUCAUCUAGGCCAUCCUGUUUCAAUCCAUCUGGCCCCAUCUUCCCUGUCAGUGGCGGUCAUCCUUCCUGCGUUCCAACCUGUGUCAUUCCAUGCAGCCCCUGCCACUUGUUCAUUUGAAUAACCACGGAAUAGCUCUCUAAUACGGUCCUCCUGGAAUUGAAAAUUAUGGCACAGAUUCAUGACCAAGGUUACGGCUUCUGGAUUCUAAAAUUCCACGAGCCUUCACAGUUCUUCAAAACUUGAUUUAGGGGAGUUGCUCCACAUCUCUGCAAGUUAAUCUUAGUGUUAAAAAGGUUGAAUUCAGACUCAGCUAUUUUAAAUAGACUCCUUAGAGUCCGUGGGAGCUUAGAUGGGUCUAGUUUGAGUAUGUUGAAGACUCAACCCAAGCUCCUCGUAGCUGAGUUUCUUCUGUCUAAGUUCCAAUAACUGUAUCCCCAUAAUGGCGGUAAAUACUGUAGAUCGUAUAUUGCAGCCAACCUUCUCAUGAACGUCUCCUGAAGAAUCAAAAGAAGACAUCAUAGAAGCAUGAUGGAAGAUGUCUUCAGAGACUGUCAUCGUGAGACAAGACAUAAGUUCUUCUGGCUGUCUUCUACAGGUUUUGUUUAUUUUUUUGGAACGACAGCACCUUAAAGACAUUGGGGUUAAACUAUUUCUCUAGUGGAAUUCUCCAAAAUCUUCACGUUUGCAUGUGUAUGCUUCUAGUUUAGGACUAACAAAGGACUUUUGCUUUCCCCCCCAUAUGCACCCGCCUCAAAAUGUUCCACGUUCAGAUAAGAUGACUACCACACUAUGCAACAGUGUCCUUGACGCUUUAAUUUGAUUUCUCAAGCUUAGGAUAAUGCUUUAUAGUCUGGGCGUUGUUUUUGUAACUCUGUUAUGUUAUGUUAUGUUCUUCAUGCAUGAGACUCUGCAUUUCCUCUGUUCACUCCUUGCUUCACAUUCAAUAAAAUUCCCUUUAGUGCACAAAAAUA